UUGUAGCGGUGUUUGAAAAGGAUCACCAACCAGGGGACAUACCUAAUACUUUUGAUGUUGUAUUAGUUGAUGGAUUUUUCCUUAUACAUACAUUACGUGAUGUUCCAGCAACAUUUGGUAAUAUAUAAAAAAAAAUCAUGUCAUGUUUAACAGCUACAAAAGCUCCUCGAGUUGAUAUCGUUUUCGAUCAGUACAAGUCUCCCUCAAUUAAAGACUAUGAACGUCAUUUAAGAAAUGAAACAACUUCAAUCGAUUUCAAUAUAAGUGGACCAAUGCAAGUUCGACCAACUGAUUUUAAUAAAGGAUUAAAGAAUAUAAAAUUCAAACAGGCUUUGGUAACCUUUUUAAUCGAACAUUGGCGUCAACCUGAAAUGGUGCCUUUCAUUGGCCAAACUAUAAUAAAUUUGAAUUAUGAUUUUUGUUAUUCCUACAGGCUGGAAAACAAUAAUAUUAGUCAAACAAUAGAUGAUAAUUUAUAUUGUGAAAAUCAUGAAGAAGCUGAUACCAAAUUAGUUUACCAUGCUUGUCAACUUGAAUCUGAAUCAACUACCAACGUUCUCAUUAAAUCAUGUAAUACUGAUAUUCUAAUUAUCAUGCUUGGCAAUAUGGACAACCUAAAAUGCGAUAGCUUGAAUAUCUACAUGGAGUAUGGAGCUGCAAACAAAAAAAGAACUUUAAAUCUGACACAACUUUACGUUGAAUUAGGUCCGACUGUUUGUUCAAGUUUACCCGGGUUUCAUGCAAUUACGGGGUGCGAUUAUAAUCCAUCUUUUUUCAAAAAAGGCAAAAAAAGGCCUUUUCAAUUGAUUCGAGAAAAUCCUGAUUAUCAGAAAGCGCUAACUGAUCUUGGAAAUUCAAAAAUUCCUGGAUUACCGUAUGAAACGUUUGCGACACUUGAAAAAUUUGUAUGUGAAUUGUACGGGCACAAGAACAUUUCGGAUAUAAAUAAAGUACGUUACGAGAAGUUUUGCCUUACGUAUAAAUCAAAGGAUGUUAAUGAACCUUUUUAAAAAACUAUUAUGAAAUACGACGCUUCAAAUUUACCACCGUGUAAAGCUGAAUUACACCAACACCUCUUAAGAACUCAAUAUAUCACGAGUAUUUGGCGAAACGCUCAUCUAUGUACUCCUACAUAUUUGUUCCCUGGAACCCAUGGUUGGACUUUGCAAGAUGACGCCUAUGAAUUUAAAUGGUUCGAGGGUGAUUGUAUGCCACAAACUGUCUUGGAUGCUAUUAGAACCGGCUCAUCCACAGAAAAAGAUUCUGUUAACGAAGCUGAUGAACGCGAUUGUUACGAUGAAGACAUGUUUUCAAGUGAUGAUUCGACAGAAGAAGAAUCAGAUAACAGCAGCGAUGAAGAUGAAAAUUGAAUAAACGAUUUAAUAACUAUUUAAAUAUUAUACUUAGAAAUAAAUACUUUAACCUUUAUGU
rnacentral:misc_RNA from 1 species